rnacentral:rRNA from 1 species
AGAGUUUGAUCCUGGCUCAGAACGAACGCUGGCGGCAUGCUUAACACAUGCAAGUUGAACGAAGGCCCGGGGCUUGCCCCGGUCACCUUAGUGGCGGACGGGUGAGUAACGCGUGGGAACCUGCCCAGGGGCGGGGAAUAACCAUUGGAAACGAUGGCUAAUACCGCAUACGUCCUCAGGGAGAAAGGCUUCGGCCACCCUUGGAUGGUCCCGCGUCUGAUUAGCUUGUUGGUGAGGUAACGGCUCACCAAGGCGACGAUCAGUAGCUGGUCUGAGAGGAUGAUCAGCCACACUGGGACUGAGACACGGCCCAGACUCCUACGGGAGGCAGCAGUGGGGAAUAUUGGACAAUGGGCGAAAGCCUGAUCCAGCAAUGCCGCGUGAGUGAAGAAGGCCUUAGGGUUGUAAAACUCUUUCGCCGGUGAAGAUGAUGACUGUAGCCGGUAAAGAAGCCCCGGCUAACUCCGUGCCAGCAGCCGCGGUAAUACGGAGGGGGCUAGCGUUGUUCGGAUUUACUGGGCGUAAAGCGCGCGUAGGCGGUAUAUCAAGUUAGGCGUGAAAGCCCCGGGCUCAACCCGGGAACUGCGCUUAUUACUGAUAAACUAGAGUCCGGGAGAGGGUGGCGGAAUUCCCAGUGUAGAGGUGAAAU